rnacentral:rRNA from 1 species
UUUUAUUAUUAGUUUAGAUUUAUUAAUCUUUAAUUAAUUUAUUAAUAUACUUUAUUGAAUAUAUACUUAUAGGUGAUUAUGAUUAAAUUAGUAUAAAUUUUUGUGAGGUUAAUUAAACUUUUAAGUUAAAAUUAAGGAAUUCGGCAAAUUUGUUUUCUGCCUGUUUAUUAAAAACAUGUCUUUUAGUGAUUAUUUGAAGUCAGGCCUGCCCUAUGAUUAUUUAAAUGGCCGCGGUAUUUUGACCGUGCAAAGGUAGCAUAAUAAUUAGUUUCUUAAUUGGGAGCUGGUAUGAAUGGUUUGACAAGAAAACUUCUGUCUCUAUUUUAUUAUUAGAAUUUAACUUUUGAGUCAAAAGGCUUAAAUGUUUUUAAAAGACGAGAAGACCCUAUAGAAUUUUAUAUUUAACUUAAUUAAAAUUUUUUAGAUUAUUUAUUUUUAAUAAAUUUAAUUAUUUUGUUGGGGUGACGGAAAAAUUUAAAUAACUUUUUCUUAUUACAUUCAUUAAUUUAUGA